GGUGGAGGUGGGGGUGGGGGGCAACUGUCUUCUGGGGAGGCCAGCUUGAUGGAGGCCGCUUUCCUCAGAGAAGACAGUGGCGCUCCACAUGUUCCAAAUAGGUCUCAUUUUGUCCCCGUUUCCCUUUCCACCCACGUGCAGCCCAGGCAGCCGCCCUUACUGGUUGCUCAGGUUGGACAGGGAGUGUGCUGGUUGCUGGUAUUUUCCCUUAAAGCAUCUUGGCAGCAAUCCUGGCCGUUUAGAUCUCUGGAUAUCACAAGCUGGGCAGGUGCCUGCGCUUUAUCAACAGGAUGAGUCUUACAGGUGUUUCACAAGGUCCCGGAAGUCUGUUGCCCGACCCCCCACCUUCCCCAAUGCAGGAACUAAGGGACACCCACAUUCUCUCUUUCUUAGACGUGGCCCAAUUUACCACCAAAUGUAGCUCCCCCCCCCCCCCAGAAGCGUGCAGGAUCUAAGGAGAUAAAAGAGUUGGACAUUGCUGGUUUCUGCUUCUUUAUUCACCUGGAAAAUGGACUCAACAUAGACCUGGCAGUUAGAGCCGGCCUGUGAGGGCUGGCAGAGUUCCUGUGAGGGAGGCAGAUGAUGUAAUGGAAAGAGCUCAAGUCUGGGACACUAAUGGGUGGGCUCUUCUUAGCCACCACCUCGCAAAGGGACCGUGACCGGUCCUUUCCUUCUCUGUGCCUCAGUUUCCUCAACUUAUGACAAGAGGAUUGGCCCCAGAGGGCCCCAGAGGGCCCGAGAGGCAUUUUCUCAGCUCACCAUCCAUCCAGUGCCGGAUUAGGUGGCUCACAGACCAGAAGGGUCGCAGACUGUUUUAUUUUCCAAAAAGAUCUCCAUCAGACAAUCCUACCUCUGCUUAUUGUUUUGUUUACUGUGGAAAUUCCAUUCGAAAGUACAGAAAGUACAGGAUUAUGAUCGGAAUCAAGACUAAUUCCCAACUAGGACUGUACCGGGCAGUGUUCAAGCACUACCCAGCUACUAGCCCCAGCUAAGUGCUGUGGCUAUAAAGUUAAGAUGGAAUAACCCCGCCCCUUUGAGCUGUACACAGCCGGGUCAGGAAGACAGAUGAGUAACUGGUCUUUGCAUUGCACCGUGAUGAGUACUACCGUCGUGUAUUUAUAAGGCACAUGCAGAGAAUGGCCAUAUAAACCUGGGGUGGAGUCCUCUGUGGGCUCCUGGAGGAAGUGUCACUAUAGGGUAAGCGGCACCUAAUGGGGAAUCAGGUCUCUCAGACCAUGGUGUUUGUUCAACAGACACCUGCUGCCUGUCAUCCCACGCACCUCAUCCUUUAAAUACAGACAGUUAUCCCAGUGUCCACCUAGCUAUCCCUUGGGUCUGGAAGGUGAUUGGAACAGUGGCCACUAAGUUGGAGCCCCUGGAGCAGGUCUUGAGUAGGUCGGAAGAAAGCAUGGAAUCUGGCUUGUACCCUGGAGGCAGAACUAUAGGUUCCCAUAGCAUUUUAUUUUAUUUUUUCAGUGUGGAAUGCUGGAAACCAGCAUCCAGUUCACACAUGCAUAUCCCUGUACUCUCAUUGUUUCCUUUUUCCUUUUUCCCUUUUCCUUCUCCUUUCCUUUUUCUUUUUCUGGCACAUGUUGGGAAGAAUGAGUUGGAAGUCCCUGAAGGCGAUUGGAUUCUGAAAACCUCUGCAGUCAUGGCGGGCUUCUUGGAGAAGGUGCCGGGGAGGUAAGAUGAGGACUAGCUGAACUAGUUAGGUUGGCAACUUGGCUUAAGGGCCUCCUAGAUCCCGGGCUGCGCUUGGCCGCGCCACCCUUCCCGCGUUCGACCUUUGUUCCUGCACUAACCUCCCAUCAACCGAAGUGGUGUUAUCACUUCCCCCUUUCUGCGCCGUGCGUGACUCAAGGCUCGCCCUCGGCGCCUGCUUCCCUGGCCGCGCGCGGUUGCGGGCGCAUCCCGAGGCUGGGAAGUGUCCUCGGCAGCGCAGCCAGGCCCCGCCUCUAGGGCCCGCAGCUCAAGAGCAGGCUCGGAGCGGCGAGCCGGGGCGCACCUCGGCGCAACCUGCGGGCUCCGGGGGAGCCUCUCCCCGCCGCGCCGGCUGGCGGGAGCGGACUGAGGCCGGCGCUGCCCGUUAGCAGCCGCGACGGCAGGAGCCUCCUAAUUACUCACCACGCUAAUUGCCCAGCACUGAACUUCAGGAGCCGGUCCGAAGAGGAGCUCCGGGGCGCAGAGAGGGCGGAAGGUGUCUAGGACCGAACCCCGCCUGGGUUAAGUGCCCGCCCGUCCCCGGCUGGCAGCCAGCUCGCCUUCAGCGGGAGGCCGGAGUCACCGCCGGGGGAACCGGGAGGUGCGCCCGGACCACACCGGACCCCCUCCCCCAUCGCCGCCUCUAGGAGGCGCAGAAAGUGGGGGGCGCCAGCUUGGCGCGGGGGGCGGGCGCGGAGAACCAGAGGGGCUGCGGGGACACCGAGAUGGCCGAUGAGAUCGACUGGCUGGACCUGCCAGGCCGAUGGACCUACGGAGUGGACCGCGGCGGGAGAAUCUUCUUCAUCAAUGAUGAGGAGAAGUCAACCAGCUGGGUGCACCCUGGUACAGCCUCACCCAUCCAGAGUGGACACUCUGCCGGCCCAGGUUUGCCUAAGGGUUGGGAGAUGGAUUCUACCCCGGAAGGAGCUGCAUACUUCAUCAACCACAAUGAAAGACGCAACACAUUUCGACAUCCAGUGACUGGCCAGAUCCCAGAGGAGAACAAAAAGUUUGACUUGAAAACAUCGGCCUUGGACAUGUCCAACAAAACAGGUGGGAAACGUUCUGCUACCAUCAACAGCGACAUAGCCAACCACAACAUGGUGUCUGAGGUUCCUCCAGAGCGGCCCAACAUCCGGGCGACUCGAACUUCCCGAAAAGCCAUUGCCUUUGGUAAACGCGCACACUCCAUGAAGCGGAACCCCAAUGCACCUGUUACCAAGGCGGGCUGGCUCUAUAAGCAGGCCAGCUCCGGGGUGAAGCAGUGGAAUAAGCGUUGGUUUGUCCUGGUGGAUCGCUGCCUCUUUUACUACAAAGAUGAGAAGCAGGAGAGCAUCCUGGGCAGCAUCCCCCUGCUGAGCUUCCGGGUGGCGGCUGUGCAGCCUUCAGACAACAUCAGUCGGAAGCACACGUUUAAGGUGACUGUUCACUGGGUAGAUGAGGCUGGGGCCAGUUCUACGCACUGCCUCUCCCCACAGGCAGAGCACGCUGGAGUCCGCACCUACUUCUUCAGUGCCGAGAGCCCCGAGGAGCAGGAGGCCUGGAUCCAGGCCAUGGGCGAGGCUGCUCGGGUCCAGAUCCCUCCAGCCCAGAAGUCAGUGCCUCAGCCUGUGCGUCACAGCCUCGAGAAGCCAGACUCAGAGAACAUCCCACCCAGCAAACACCAUCAGCAGCCACCUCACAACAAUCUCACCAAGCUGGAGCCUGAGGCCAAGACUCGAGGGGAGGGCGACGGCAGGGGCUGUGAGAAGGCCGAGCGCAGGCCUGAGAGGCCUGAAGUCAAGAAAGAGACUUUGGUAAAAGCCAAUGGCCUCCCGUCUGGACCUGAGACAGCCUCAGAGCCUGGCAGCCCUUACCCCGAUGGCCCGAGGGUUCCAGGAGGUGGGGAACACCCUGCUCAGCCCAAUGGCUGGCAGUAUAGCUCCCCAAGCCGACCAGGGAGCACAGCUUUUCCACCUCAUGAUGGGGACUCUGGGGGACAGCGGCGGAGCUUUCCACCACGUACUGACCCUGACAAAAUUGCCCAGCGCAAAAGCUCUAUGAACCAGCUUCAGCAGUGGGUGAACCUGCGCCGAGGGGUGCCCCCACCCGAAGACCUUCGGAGCCCUUCAAGGUUCUACCCUAUGCCCCGCCGGGUCCCUGACUAUUACAAUCCCUACUCCUCCCAGUAUCCUGAUGAUUACCAGUACUACCCACCAGGGGUGCGGCCCGACAGCAUCUGCUCCAUGCCAGCCUACGAUAGGAUUAGUCCACCCUGGGCCCUGGAGGACAAGCGCCACUCCUUCCGGAAUGGGGGUGGACCCACUUACCAGCUUCAUGAGUGGAAGGAGUCUACCAGCUACGGGCGGCAGGAUGGCACCGUUUGGAUCCCCAGCCCCUCCCGACAGCCAGUCUUUUAUGACGAGCUGGAUGCCGCCUCUGGCUCCUUGCGCCGCCUGUCCUUGCAGCCCCGGUCCCACUCUGUGCCCCGCUCGCCCAGCCAGGGCUCCUACAGCCGUGCCCGCAUCUACUCCCCAGUGCGCUCACCUAGCGCCCGUUUUGAUCGGCUGCCACCACGCAGUGAGGACAUCUAUGCAGAUCCCGCUGCCUACGUGAUGAGGCGAUCUAUCAGCUCCCCAAAGUAUGAUUACCUGGGAGACAGGCGGCCAGUCCCUGCAGGACUGUUCCCCUACAACUACCCAUCAUCCCCCACGGUCCACGAUAAGAUGGAUGAACUGUUAGAUCUUCAGUUGCAAAGAAACCUAGAGUAUUUGGACCAGCAGAUGAGCGAGAGCGAGACUCUCAUCAGCAUGGUGAACCGAAUGGUGGAGAACUCCUCUCCCAGGGCCCACCUUUUCAUGCAAGUCCCUGCAUACCCAGAGGUGUUCCGGGAUGGCCUCCACACCUUCAAGCUAAACGAGCAAGACACGGAUAAGCUGCUGGGCAAGCUGUGUGAGCAGAACAAGGUAGUAAGGGAACAGGAGCGGCUGGUGCAGCAGCUGCGGGCAGAGAAGGAGAGCCUAGAAAGUGCCUUGAUGGGAACCCACCAGGAGCUGGAGAUGUUUGGGAGCCAGCCCGCCUACCCAGAGAAGCUGCUGCACAAGAAGGAGUCUCUGCAGAACCAACUUAUCAACAUCCGGGUGGAGCUGUCACAGGCGACCACGGCACUGACCAACAGUACAGUGGUGUAUGAGAACCUCGAAUCGGAGGUCUCUGCCCUGCAUGACGAACUCUGGGAGCAGCUCAACUUGGAUAUCCAGAAUGAGGUGCUCAAUCGGCAAAUCCAAAAGGAGAUCUGGAGGAUCCAGGAUGUGAUGGAAGGGCUGAGGAAGAACAACCCCUCUCGGGGCACUGACACAGCCAAGCACAGAGGAGGACUUGGACCGUCAGCCACCUACAGCUCCAACAGCCCAGCCAGCCCUCUCAGCUCUGCCAGCCUUACCAGUCCCCUGAGCCCCUUUUCAAUGGUGUCUGGCUCUCAGGGUUCUCCCACUAAGCCAGGGUCCAGUGAGGAACCUGGCCCACCUCGGCCACCCCUCCCCAAAGCCUACGUCCCCCUGGAAUCUCCUCCCACCGUCCCUCCACUCCCCAAUGAGAGCCGCUUCUGGCCAUACCCCAACUCCCCUUCCUGGCAUCGAAGUGGCGAGACAGCCAAGGGCCAGCCCAAAACAGGCUAUGAGACAAGCAAGAAAGACCCGAGCCAGACAUCACCCCUGGGUACCCCUAGAGAUAUCAACCUGGUACCCACCAGACAAGAGGUGGAGGCAGAGAAGCAGGCAGCUCUCAACAAAGUUGGCAUUGUACCCCCUCGGACCAAAUCUCCUGCUGAGGAGGAGUUGACACCAUCAGCAGUGGUGAGAAGGACCACGAAUGGACUCACCAAUGGCCUCUCCUCACGGCAAGAGCGCCCCAAGAGUGCUGUGUUCUCUGGAGAGGGCAAGGUGAAAAUGAGUGUCGAGGAGCAGAUGGACCGGAUGAGGCGGCAUCAGAGCGGUUCCAUGAAGGAAAAGCGGAGGAGCCUACAGCUCCCAGCCAGCCCAGCCCCUGAGCCCAGCACCCGGCCUGCCUACAAAGUGGUGCGCCGUCACCGCAGCAUCCAUGAAGUAGACAUCUCCAACCUGGAGGCAGCCCUGAGAGCCGAGGAACCUGGUGGUCAGGCAUAUGAGACACCACGGGAGGAGAUCGCGAGGCUCCGCAAGAUGGAGCUGGAGCCUCAGCACUACGAUGUGGACAUCAGUAAGGAGCUCUCUACUCCAGACAAAGUCCUCAUCCCUGAACGGUACAUUGACCUGGAACCUGACACUCCCUUGAGCCCGGAGGAGUUGAAGGAGAAGCAGAAGAAGGUGGAGAGGAUCAAGACGCUCAUUGCCAAAUCCAGUAUGCAGAACGUGGUGCCCAUCGGCGAGGGGGACUCUGUGGACGUGCCCCAGGACUCAGAGAGCCAGCUGCAGGAGCAGGAGAAGCGGAUUGAAAUCUCCUGUGCCCUGGCGACCGAGGCCUCCCGCAGGGGCCGCAUGCUGUCUGGUGAGAGGGGCUGGGCCUCGCUCCGCCAGGGACACCAGCUGACCAGGUGUAGGGGAGGAAGUGCAGCAUUGCCAGGGGGGCAGGCUCAGGAGAGACGCCAGGCCAAGGAGGUGGUUCAUAGGGUCAGACCGAGCAUUCACUAAGCACUGGGUUUGUGCUAGGCUCAGUACGAAGGGGCCAGAGUGGCCGACCUCCAGGGGCUUAGCUGUCAUGAUGCUCACAGCCACUUUAUAGAGGACUGGUCAGAGGCGGCAGGGAACUUGGGGCCAUGUGCCUCUGGAAAGUCACAGAGAAGGCAAUGGCACUUCCUUAGGAAGCAUAAUCACACUUACCACCAUGGCUGAGAGGACUAGGUGUUUAGGAUUCCUUCUGCUUUUCUUCCUUGCUACAUGCAAACAGAAGAAUGGAAAGAUGAUCCCCCUCCUUCCCCUCCCCCCCAAAAAAGACAAGGCAGACAAGGACUUGAGAGCUAUUUCAUCUCUAUCUUGGCUGCUGAUCCAACUUAACUUUCCUAAGAAGAGACCUGCUAGGAAGAGGAAGUGACUUCACACUGACACAAAGGUCCCAAUUAGAUACCAUAGAGGUGAAGUCACUGGACUGACUUCCACAGGCUAGAGUAGCCUCCUGGAGGAGGGGAAUGUGGCCCGGCUUUCAAUGAAGGGGAGUCUGUAUGAAUGGGAGGGGCAGAUAAGGUCGUGGUUAGCUUCAUCCACACAUAAUAGGACCAUCUUCUUUUGUUUCGUUUUUGAGACAGGGUCUGGCUAUGUAACUCAGCCUGGCCUAGAACCUUAGGUCUUCCUGCUUAAGCUUCUGAGUGCUGGGAUUAUUGGCACACACCACCACGCCCACAAAGUGUGGACUUUAGUGGCCACAGUUAGGAGGAAUGAUAUGAAGUCGGCCGUGGCUUAAGGUGAUGAGCAGAAGUGAGAGAGACCAGGUUACAGGCCACGGUUACGCUAGUCCUGACGAGGCAGGAGCAAGCAGAUAAAGAUGGAAUCAGGAGGGAUGGGGCUCCAAGCCUUCAUUUCCUCAGUGGUAAAAUUCAGAACACCUGCCUUCAGUUCAGAUGGUGCAAGGGUCAGAAGCAGCCGAAGGCAGCCCCUCACCAAGUGCCUGGUGUUUAGUGCUGGGACAACGGUGAUGCUGCGGUGCUCGGUAGAGAUGCUUGAACCAGUAAGAGCUGAAGUUGAAACGAGACCCCUCUGUGCCGUUUCUAACUUGAUAUAUGUACGUUACAACCAGAGGGCUGUCAGUCACAACAAAGAAAGUAUCAGUUAAACCUCCAGGGAGAAGCUGAUGUAAUUAGGAACAAUGAACUUCAGGAUGGAGGGCUGGGGAGGCACUGGAGGUCGCAGGUGCUCCAGUGUCCGGCUCUGCACAGACAGGUGCUGAGAGCUAUGAGGGGCCAUCUCCUUUCCUGGAGCUAAGGCAGCAGAACCAGUUUAGCUGCAGAGUAGGAUGCUGUCCUUACUUUUCAAAAGUAACUCGAACUGACAUUGAACUUGAGUCAAAUUCCACAUGCUUUGAGCAAAAGGUACUUCCCAUUUCAAGAGGGUAGCACAUAGCAUGCUUAAAAACUCCCCCUGCCCUGCCACGGAUCUGGCUUUCUGCAUUGUUACCCAACAGUCCAGGUUUCAUGGAAACAAACCUCUGGGGCCUAUCCGAUUUCCCUUGACAAUACACGGGCUUACAUUUCAGGGUCUGUGUGCUGAAAGCAAAUGGUCAUCGUGCUAUUGCCAAAACCUCCAACAAUUCAAAAAAUGGCUAUGGGAGCACCAGACCUCAGCCCUAGCCCGCUGCCCCGCUAUCCUUGGCCCAUGGCCUGGAGGCCCUAGAGCAAGCACUACUCCUGGGCACAUGGGUGUGGAUUAGCAGCGUGGGCGUAGGUUCAUACCCAGGACACUGGGAGGGAGAGUGGCUGGGCAUAGGUCCCAAGAGCAGCAGGCUUGGCAUGGGUGUGUGUGUCAUGGACAACCUAAUCAGUGAGUGCUCUGUUUGUAAGUCUGCCAAACUGCUGUGUGCAGAUUCAGUGUAUACCAUAUGAGACGAUGCGAUGCGGCAUUUCUGAGUCUGUGUACCUGGCACAGAUGUCAUGUAUCUGGCAAUGUUCGCAGAUGUGUAUCUGUGUGUAUUUAGAUGAUCUGUGUGGGAGAGAAAGGAAUGUUUGAGGGGAAAUGUGGGGAUGCAUCUGCGUGUGUGUGUGUGUGUGUGUGUGUGUGUGUGUGUGUGUGUGUAUGCACAUCCAGUAUGCAGGUAGAGGUAACAUCUAGGAAUGUGCAUAUUUAUAUGUGGCUGGCUUUUCAUGUGUCAGGAAUGCCAUGAUCUAUCCCGAAUGUUGUGCGCAGUGUACACUCUGUAGCACUUGUAAACAUAUCUGUGCAUAGGGGUGGGGUGAAUGCACUCAUAAAUGUGUGUGGCUACUCACGCAUGCAAAUACUCACGCUUUGAAGUGCCACAUCUGUCCAACAUGUGCUUACCACACACUUGAACUUAACGCAUUUUAGUGGGUAUAGUCAAUAUAUAUUUCACGUGUCUGUUUCGUUAAAGAGAUGAUAUUCACAUAACUGUCGUCUUUUCCUUCCUCAGUUAAUACUGUCAGUAUCCCUAUGCCCCUGACUUGUGUUGAAGGCAUGAGCCCAGGAGCUGCUGUCCCUGUGUGACUCUCUCUGUAUCUAAGUGUGGUCCCCUCCUGCUCAUAUGUCAUCCUCACUUUUCAUAAAGGCGCUGUGCUCUCUUCAUUUGUGCCUUCUUAGAGCUAUGCAGGGCCUUUCAAUGCCCCCUCUGUCCCUUUUCCAGCCCCGGCUUUCUAUUUCCAAUCUGAGGCUCAGAACACCAACAGGUCAGCACUUGUUAGAACUCAGAAUAACAGUGGCCGGAUCCACAGAACUCUGUAGGUAGAUGUUAGAACAUUUUGGCUUCCCAGGGAGCCUCUUUGCUUUCUUGUCGGGGUUAUUGACAGGUUUAGAAUCUGAACAUGACCCAUGAGUAACACUUCUUCGGUAAUAUACACAUGAAUGUGUUGGGAAGCAUUUGUGAGUGGUUUUGCCUAUGAGAUGACAGGUAUGUUGGAUCACAUGGAAGUACCGAGGCUUGAAAGUGAACAAACACAUAUUUGAGUUGUGUAAGAUGAGUGUACCCAUGUGGUGCUGUCAGAUCCCGGGCAUAAUAGCAUUAUAUGAAGGAGACCUGAGCUCACAACCACUGGAAGCAACCUGGGCUAUACACAUCCUGGGGAUAUGCCCAUAGCAACAACAGGAGCCUGUAGCAAGAGCAGGAGCCACAUGGGCCCUGUUGCACAGAGCUCAGAGAAGGCGAUGAUGCCCAUGCCAGGGUAGGAAGCAAGGAGUUGGAAGUUUAAUGGCGCAUCUUGGAGAUGCGGCGUGACUCCUGGCCGAGGUCUGGUUCUUCUCCUAGCCCAAGUGGGGACGCUCUCUCUGCCAUCCUUCUGCCUUGGCUAUACCGAGGAUGCGCAAGAGUCUGGUGUCCUCCUAGAGGACUCUCCUGUUACUGUCUUUCCCCUUUGCUGUUCUUCACAUGAAAUGAUGAUAAUAAAGUAAAAUCACGUCAGUCCAAACGUCACAGUUUUAAAGUUCAAAAUGACUUCCCAAGUGUGGCCUGCAGGUCCUCUGCCGGAUCGGUCGGAACAGGUUCUCACGUGAUCGUGGGGAGGUUCAUUCUGAGCCGCUAGUCCCGCCGAGACUUUAUGCUAGUCAGGAAACUGUGUUCUCUGGAAAGGAUUAUCCUGCUGGCUGUCCUACCUCUCUGUUAAGUGGCGGCCCGAUGCCGUGGACUGGUGUGAUUUUAUUGCACUAUUAAUCAUUAUCAUGGGUGAAGCUGCCGUAGAUGGUGUAAAGUGGCUGGGUCCCCCUUCGUUCUGUCUGCACAGGGUAGAAUAAAUAAGCCAGUGCGUGGACAGGAAGGGAGUCUUUAUCCCAGAAUGGGGUUCAGCCUGGAGCACCAUCACCCAGCUUCUUAGCGGAGCCUGGGUGUGGCCGGAUCUCCUCUGGGAUCUCUCUAUUCUCCACUGCACCCUGGGAAUUAAGGACAGCUAUGCCUCUGCUUGAGCAAGCUUCCCAGCCCACCUUUUCUCUCUGCUUGCCUCCCUGCCUCGCUCCCUGCCCGGGGAGUGGCCUCGCUUGCUCUGGGCACCCAGUCUCCUCCCCUAGCAUCCUUUGUCUCCUAUUCACUCCCCUGUUCAUUUCUGUUUCCAGUGCAGUGUGCCACCCCCAGCCCUCCCACCUCCCCUGCUUCCCCGACUCCACCAGUCAACCCCCUCUCGUCUGACCGCCCACGGGGCGCCGACAGCAGCCAUACCAUGCGGGUCUGAGCUCUGACUGCAAGCCCUGGCUGAGGCCAAUGCUGUGAAGCUCCACAGAGCCACCUUCUGAUAGCAUCCAUUGCACACCUGGGGCUCUGGCUUCUCACCCUGGCCUCCUGCCCUUGCACCCACCAUGGGAACACGUCAGAGAGCCAGGCUGGGGACCGGGGCUGCUUCAUAAAGGAACAUGGAUGCCUUCAAGUUCACAUCUGCUGCCCUUGCCCUGAAGCCUGCACUGUCAUGUUAUGGUUCUAAGGCAAGACCCGGGCAUGGCAAGGCCAGGAUGGCGUCCUCUCUGAUGCCCCUGUCACGGGGAGCUCAAGUGCAGUUCUGGAUGGAUUGUGUGGCCCUCCUGCACCAUCCCCCGUGGAGUCCAUGUGCUGGUGGGAAGCUCAUGCUAUGGGUGAGGGCUAGAAGUGAAGACAAGACAGACUCCAUCCCUUGGAACCCGUACAACACAGCGAGAGGCCAGGUCUUGCCAUCACCUUCCUCCCAUUCAGUCCCAGCUGCCUCAGCGAUGCCCAAGGCUUUGGCACGGCUCUGCUGAUGGGUUUCCCAGAGUUCACUGGAGGCCAGCUACCCUGCUUGAGCCAAAGAAGACGAUGAGUUCUAGGGAGAGGCUCCUGGGCUCCCAGAGGGGUCAAGUGUGUGACAGAGAGACGACAGCAGGUCUGCACAGUGUCUGAGGGCAAGUUGGAAGCAAGGAGCAAGAUGGAAGAGAAAAGAGGCUUAGAGAGUGAAGGAAGAGAAGGCAGACGCUUUUCACAAGCAACAGGGAUGUAAAGAAGGAGGGAAAUGGGAAGGGAGAAUAGAAAUGGCUUCCCUAGUGUGGAGCCUUAGGUCAGUGCCAAGCAGAGGGGCUGUCACCUCUGUACCUUCACGUCUUCCUCGGGAGCAGGAGGCGCCAGGAGGACUCAUGCCAGGCACAUGCCAGCUCCAACUGAGGUGCUUGGUAGCAAGGUAUGAGGUAAGGGGUUGUUAGAGUGCUAUAGCCUGUGAGAUGGUCCUAUCUGUGUCAAGGCCUGCUGUCUCUCUCCCAGGGUCAUAGGCAGAGAGAAGACGGUCUCAUAUGAAGUCUGUCAGCCUUGGGGCCUUACCUAGCCAGUUUAAACCCGGAAAGUACUGUGGGCUGACUGAGGUUUGCCCUCGGAGGAGGAAUGAGGAAUUAACUGUGAGGCCAAGUUCUAGGUCCUUCCUUCUCAUCUCAGGCAUCUAGAGCAGGGCCAGAUGCUUUCCUCCACCCCACCUGCCCAGGGAGGACAGGACAGGGAGAGACCCUAGCAGAGCAGAAUCUUCCUCUAGCCCACCUACCGUGCGUGAAUGUAGCCAGACAGCAGCAAAGGAAGGCUAGCUUCAGACACCAAGCCACCAGACCUGCUCUCCACACAUUUUUGCCCAGAGACUUCAGCCUGAACAUCAGUGGCCCAGGAAACAACUGCAUCAGCUCCCAUCAAUCCAUCACCACUCCGUCAUGGUCGGGACAGUUACUGGUUCAUAUGCAAGUAAAGAUGACAAUUCUUUCAACAAAUACUAGUGAAGCACUCUCUGUGUAUCAGGCACUGUUCUAGGUGCUUAGGAUAUUGUCUUGCUUCUGAGGGACUCUGGAUCGGGAGGAUUCCACCUGUUUUUGCCUCUCUCUGGCUUCUGGAAAGUGCUCCUUCAUGACAUCCCCUAUCUGCAUAGUUCAAGCACCCCAAAUCUGCCCCUUCCUCCUUAAAGACUGGUAGAUGGGAUCAGCUCCCAGGUUACCCUCUCUCCCCAUACCCUCUUCCAAAAGAAACAAAAUGUUAGGGCUUUCCCCGUCGUUGUCUCUCCUUUUUUUAAAAAGUGGUAUUUUUUAGAAAUACAUGUGGAAUACCAAGAAAUGUCUUUGCCUCCCCACCACUCUCACCUACAUUUCAUAAAGCUGGCUCUUUAUGUUGCUUUACAUGGCCUUAAUAUAUGUUUUAUGGAAGUGAUCAUGUCAUAGUAUCCAUGUAAUAUAUUUGUCUGGAUGUCAACCCUUUCCUCAGCUCCUGCCCCAACCUGUUUUUCUGUCCACGUCAUUUUUAGCAUAUUCAAGCCACACCCCUUGCCUUUUUGAUCCAAAGAAGGGGAGAGGAAAGAUUUAUUUUAAAGGCAGACCUAUUCUAUGCUUUUGUUUAAAAAGCAGAUCUAUUUUCAAAAUGUGCAAUGUCUGAAAGGGAUUGGUGAUGUGUGAGGGACCGGGGUGGCCGUCCCUGGUCCCAGUCUGUGUCCCUUCCUCUACCCCAGUGGCUUCCCUCCCAUUACCCAGUCAUUGUAAAGGGCUGGUCCCCAGGUUCGCCCGGACUGCAUCCUGCAGGAAAAGGACAUUCCCUCGAAUGUCCUGGUCUAAGAAUUUGACUUUACUGUCAACUUUAGGAAGCAGACCAAGGGAUGCCAAGCACGUGAGGGAAGCGGGUCGGGCAUCUGAGGGAAUGUUUACAAGUACAGACGUGCAGUCCCCACAUGGCCCCUGGACCACCUCCCAUCACCCCUCUGUGAGAAAAGGCCAACAGGUUGCUGGCAGCCAUCUUGAAGGAUGUCAGUCUGCUCCCUGACAGACCCAAGACACCAGGUGGAUCCCUGAGAGUGGGUUGGGGACCCCCUGUGUUCUUUGGUGAAUACUAGGAGCUGCCUGGGCCUCUCACAGUUUCUCCUGAGCCCACUCUGUGUCAUACCUAUUUCCCUCUAAAACUUUUUUUUCCUUGGAGUUAUGGCACAUCGGUCUGGCAUCCAGACUUGAAGCCUGGUUCCUGGCUGGGAAGAGCCCCCACAGUCAAUGUCAAAGCCUAAAUCUUUCCCAAGAAGGAGCCCUCUGUGCUUUGACAGGCUGGGGGCUGGAGUUCUGCUGUGGCAGCUCAGCUCGGCAAGCUUGCUUUCUGACAGGUGAUGUGAGCAAGGAGGUUGGGAAGCUUACAGACCUCUCCCCAGAUCUGAAGUGAUGUGUUUGGGAAUUUGACAGCACUUCUGGCCGGCUUUUGAAGCCUGACCUCCAACUCUGGCAUUUGUUGGCCCUCUUCCCAGACUGGAAGCUCUUGCUGUGAGUGAACAGGGCCCAGGCAUAGGCCUAGGGCUAAGCACCCCAUCUGGGGAAAGUCCUGGCCACCCACACAGGGCCUUCCCAGUGAACACAUUACCUCCUCCACCAAAAAAGCCAAAAGGCUGUGAUCAGAUCAGAUACUGCUACCGUCACUUUAAAAGGAUUGUUCUCAGGAAGCAAGCUUGCAAGCAGCAAGUGUGCUCUCCUGCCUUUGUGAAAGGCAUGUUCUUGGGGCAAGGCUAUUGCAAGAUGGAAUCCUUUCCUUCCCCAUUAGGCACCCUCCUCCUGGCAGCUCUUUAAACUAAGGAAAAAUACUAUAUAUAAAUAUAUAUAUACAUAUCUAUUUAUGCACAUAUUUGGGGCCAAUUUGGUUUGCUAGUGUUAGACAAUAAACCAUACAAGGAAAUCUAUGCUCUCAGUGUCUUUAUUUAGUAUGGAAGUGACCUUAGACAAAGAGUUAAGGUUAGAUGAGCAGCCUCUCUGUUGGGACCACACCGUGGUAGCAUCCCCUGAGCAUCUGUCUAGCCGACCACCCUCCCCUGGAGAAGGGUCGCCUGGCUGAAGUAGGUGAGAACUUGCUCCCUCCAUUCAGUGGCGGCAAUCUUACUGGAUUAGGUAGGAAGAACCCCAGGGAGCUCUGAUUUGUAUCUUGCAAGUUUGUAUAAACCAAUACCGGAAAUAAAAUGAGUGGUUUGUA